GGGGCAUCGGGGUUGCGUAUGGGGGUGGGGGUUGGGGUUGGGCGUGCUUGGAGCGCCUUCCGGCUGCUGGUUUGGGAUCUGCUAGGUCGGAGGAGGCUAGGGGAGAGGGGCUAGAGAUAUUUUGGUGGCGCCUAAAGCUUAAGACAGAAGAGGCGCCCUCUUAGGGUGGCCGCGGUCGCGGAGGAGGGAGCCGCGCGGGCCUGGCCCGAGGAGGGCGCCCCGGCCCCGACCCUGGUCCCUGCCGCCGCCCCCGCUCCCGCCAAGGCCCCCGGCCACCUACCGCCUCCGCCGCGACCUCCCCUCGCUCGGUCACCUAGAGUGGUUCGUGGGGAGGCCGUAGUAGGGGUGCGAGGUCUUAUAGCACAGCUGCCAGUUGGACCUGACAUUUAACCUGGACUUUCGUUAUCGAGAGGUCCGUGCGUUACGUCUCAUAUUGGGGUUCGCAAAACGACGUCAAUAGUACGCCUAUUCUCUUGGUUUUUGAUGACGUAACUAUAAACGAAGUCCUUUUUACCAAACGUGACCUCGUUUUUCACUUGUCGUUAGAUUUGAGCGUCGAUCUUUCAUACGAGCAUAUUAGGUCUUCGAACCGAAAGGACGUUUUAAGUUCCUGAAGUUCUAGGUCUUAUAGCAACGGAGAACACUACAGUUUAAGGGAUAGUCCGAACUCCCGGAGCGUAUAAGGGUACCGCGAAAGAGUUCAAUACUCGGUCUCGAUAAAGGACCAGACUAAAUGGCCUACUCCGUCGGCUUCUAACAAGAGGAUUAAAAACAAAGACCGUUCUAACAAGACUGACCUCGUUUCCACUCUCUUCUCUGUAUGUGACGGAAGCUCUUGUAUAUAGGACAGGACUGUCUCAAGUCUUUUCACGUCGUUACUACCACUGAAACCUUCAUUCGUCUUAACCUCUAUAACAACGAACGACGGUCGAGGUUGGAGUGUUUCAGAUCCGUAUCGGACAGAAGACCACCUUUUUGGAUAUAUGUAUAUGACAGGUAGUCUAAAUCACAUGGACAACAGCAUUAGCUGAUCCCAGAAGAAAAACACUACCUAGUACCAACUAGCAGCGUCCGGAUAAGACAGUAGCAAGGAGUGAGCUUUGUGAGAACACCUUCAACUCAUUUUGGGUUCGUUUAAAACGAGGACCUAAGAUCUCGGAAAAAGAGGGCUACUACUUUUCCCGUCGACUACAUAUACAUGAACAUCUGCGCAAACGCGGGACAAUUUUCCUCCCGAAAUACAACUCGGUUUAUCGUUCUCCUUUUAAACACAAUAAAGAAAGGGAAACACAGCAGAACCAGCAGCGUAAGGACAUUCCUGUAUUGCAGAAUUUAGCCGGUAAAUUGUAAACAACUUUUUAAGACAUUACAAACGG
rnacentral:rRNA from 1 species